rnacentral:rRNA from 1 species
AUUGAACGCUGGCGGCAGGCCUAACACAUGCAAGUCGAACGAGUGGCGGACGGGUGAGUAAUGUCUGGGAAACUGCCUGAUGGAGGGGGAUAACUACUGGAAACGGUAGCUAAUACCGCAUACCAUCGGAUGUGCCCAGAUGGGAUUAGCUAGUAGGUGGGGUAACGGCUCACCUAGGCGACGAUCCCUAGCUGGUCUGAGAGGAUGACCAGCCACACUGGAACUGAGACACGGUCCAGACUCCUACGUGAGGCAGCAGUGGGGAAUAUUGCACAAUGGGCGCAAGCCUGAUGCAGCCAUGCCGCGUGUAUGAAGAAGGCCUUCGGGUUGUAAAGUACUUUCAGCGGGGAGGCGUUACCCGCAGAAGAAGCACCGGCUAACUCCGUGCCAGCAGCCGCGGUAAUUC